rnacentral:tRNA from 1 species
UCUGCUGUUGGGUGAACAGUUCUGCACUGGCUGAUUUUUCGUCAGCGGAAGAAAAGUGCGACAUGAUAUGAAUGCAAAAUUCAUUGGCGGAA